AACGAACGCUGGCGGCAUGCCUAACACAUGCAAGUCGAACGAGACCUUCGGGUCUUGUGGCGCAGGGGUGCGUAACGCGUGGGAACCUGCCCUUAGGUUAGGAAUAACUCCCCGUAAGGGGUGCUAAUAACGGAUAAUGUCUUAGGACCAAAGAUUUUUCGCUUUUGGAUGGGGCCGGGUUGGAUUGGCUAGUUGGUAGGGGAAAAGCCUACCAAGGCGACGAUGCAUGGCUGGUGUGAGAGGAUGAUUAGCCACAAUGGGACUGAGACCCGGCCCAGACUCCGACGGGAGGCUGCAGUGUGUAGUAUUGUACAAUGGGCGAAAACCUAAUCCAGCAAUGCCGCGUGAGUGAUGAAGGCCUUAGUAUUGUAAAUCUCUUUUACCCGGGAUGAUAAUGACAGUACCGGGAGAAUAAGCUCCGGCUAACUCCGUG
rnacentral:rRNA from 1 species